CGCGGCCUCCAGUUACCCCGCGCGGCGCGGUGACCCUGUUGCCCCUGUGACCCCGGGGCACCCCAGUGGAAGCAGCCACGCAAACGGGCGAUGACCGCACAGAGGCAAACCCGCCACCCCAGACGCCGGCGUCAGGGGCAGGAGCCACCCACGGCUGGAGAAGUCGGCCAGGCCACCAUCCCCCACUAGCUGCCACCUCGCGCACCCUCCUCACUUUGACCUACAGGAUAUGGGACUGCUGUCUCCAAAAAAAAAAAAAAAACUUCAAGGUCAGAAUCUUGGCAGUCUUCUUCCUGGUUGAAUCUUUAAAAAGAUAGGCUCCGUGCCCAACGUGGGGCUGGAACUCAGGAUUCCAAGAUCAAGAAUCACAUGCUCCACAGACUAGGGCAGCCAGGUGCCCCUGCACUUUGAUUUUUAACACCUUCCAGACUUUUAGGAAAACUGCCGUUUGGAAACAGAGCCUGGCUGUGGCCUGUGGGGGCACCAGGGAAGUUGUUGGCUGAGCUGAGGAUAAACACCAGGGAUUCUAUUCUCAGUGACUGACUUCAACAUUAAUGCCAAUGCUUAUGACCGGAAAUCAGAUGAUGCAACGCAAAGCAGGAGCAUCAGAUUUUCAGAUGACACGGGGCUUCAGGUGACAGCCAAGCCACUGGUUUGCCAGCCUGGAUGGGUGCAGCCCUGAGAAGGACCUGCAUCCCUCCUGUCCACGUGGGGGCGCGCUCCGGCUCAGCCUGGAAACCGCGGGGAGCUGAAGUUCCAACGUUACACCCAUCAGGUGACUGCACCAGCCCCGGUUAAGCUGACCGCCAGCGGCACACGGCACAAACCUGCUGGGUUCCUCAAGAGAACCCUCUGCUGGUCCUUCUUUGAGCCCUAUCUCAUUUCACGCCCUCACAGAGCUUCCUGGAAUCACCUCCUGGGGUGGUGAUGAGACUCCAUUACCAGUGAGCUCAGGCAUCUUUUCAAGUGUUCAUAAGGAUCAUUUCCGCAUCAUCUUCUGUGAGUAGAAUCUUCUAUGAGAGUCUGUGGAUAUUUAACGUGUCUUUCUCAGAGCAUCCUAAUUCCAUCCGGUAGUGGCCACUUGUGUUCUGUUUUAUCAGUCUCCUGUGAAGUCAGAUUCACAGCCUUUGACCUAAAGGAAGCCAACAGGUGGACUCCUCCGGGCCAUGCUGAUUGGUUGAGGACAGGGCUCAUAACCCACGAAGGGUCAGCCAGAGAAAACAAGUCCCCAUUCCUUGAUGUCUUUUCAAGCUAUUGGACAGAGAAACUCUGCCUUCCUCUAUAUUUGAUUCAGUGAAGUGGCCAUGUAACACCCAGAGGAGCAAGGAAAUGAAACCCUACAGAGAAGGCAAAGCUGACGAAUGCGGAGAUUCUGAGUCCGGAUGGUAUUAUCUGAGCUGCUGGGUCCAGCCUCGUCCAGAGACAAACUACGCUUGAAUUCCCUGGUGGUGUAUAAAUGAAUACAUUCUUUGUUUCAAUUAUCCUUA